rnacentral:misc_RNA from 1 species
UCCGGUUUGUCACCGGCAGUCUCAUUAGAGUGCCCUUGCGUAGCAACUAAUGAUAAGGGUUGCGCUCGUUGCGGGACUUAACCCAACAUCUCACGACACGAGCUGACGACAGCCAUGCAGCACCUGUGUUCCAGUUCCCUUUCAGGCACACCCACCUCUCAGCGGGCUCCCAGACAUGUCAAGGGUAGGUAAGGUUGUUCGCGUUGCAUCGAAUUAAUCCACAUCAUCCACCGCUUGUGCGGGUCCCCGUCAAUUCCUUUGAGUUUUAACCUUGCGGCCGUACUCCCCAGGCGGAGAGCUUAUUGAGUUAUCUGCGCUACUGAAAAGUAAACUUUCCAACAGCUAGCUCUCAUCGUUUACGGCGUGGACUAC